rnacentral:rRNA from 1 species
CCUACGGGAGGCAGCAGUGAGGAAUAUUGGUCAAUGGGCGUAAGCCUGAACCAGCCAAGUCGCGUGAGGGAUGAAGGUUCUAUGGAUCGUAAACCUCUUUUAUAAGGGAAUAAAGUGCGGGACGUGUCCCGUUUUGUAUGUACCUUAUGAAUAAGGAUCGGCUAACUCCGUGCCAGCAGCCGCGGUAAUACGGAGGAUCCGAGCGUUAUCCGGAUUUAUUGGGUUUAAAGGGUGCGUAGGCGGCCUUUUAAGUAAGCGGUGAAAUUCUGUGGCUCAACCAUAGAAUUGCCGUUAAAACUGGGAGGCUUGAGUAUGUGUGAGGCAGGCGGAAUGCGUGGUGUAGCGGUGAAAUGCUUAGAUAUCACGCAGAACCCCGAUUGCGAAGGCAGCCUGCCAAGCCAUGACUGACGCUGAUGCACGAAAGCGUGGGGAUCAAACAGGAUUAGAUACCCCAGUAGUC